rnacentral:lncRNA from 1 species
AGAGGUACUUCCCCAACUCGUUAGGAGCACUGGGAUCUGCUAGACGCAACAACCUAGCAAUGAUAGGUUGUUGGGUCAAGCUAGUUGAGUCAUUGAAUCUUGACUGAUCCCUCUUCCUCAGGUUUGAAGCAGAUCAAACUUCAGCUCAAACCAUCACAAUGCUUUAAUUGGGAAGUCCUAAUUAGAGAACUGGCAAUCAAGCUUUCCUCCAAUCUCAAUGUCCCUUGAGAUCAUGUGAGAUGAUCAAACUCGGGUUUUCUGAGGAAUUAUGGGAAUUGGAGUCCAACGGGCUCCAAGAUGGGAGAUGUUACUGCAGAUGAAUUAAUUUAUCAUGAGGGGCAUUCAACCUCUUUCUCUCUGGCUUUGUUUGCCCAACAUACCUCCUUACUAACCCAUAUGAGCCGAAUUCACACAACACGUUAAGCUAAACUGCGAUUUGGUUAACUGUUUAUGGUUCAGAUGUUACGUGAAUGUCAUUUUUCUCUUUUUCAGAGUGGUCAGUCUCUACAAAGAGGACGAACCCAACGUCUACACCGAGCCAGCAGUCUUCUCCCAGGUGUUAUUACCCUUUCUACUCCAACUGGUCGAGAAUGCGUCCAUUUCUCAAAAACUUUGCGAGUCGAUACAAUCUUGGCUAGAAACCACUGGAGCUGGAAUCGUCUCCACCAUACAAUUCUGUAAACAGUGGUGGAGUCAAGAGGACAUCCCUUGCCUGCAUCUCAAGGCUUUGUCCUGUCCUGACGUACAUUCUGCGAUUGCGGCGCUGUUGGUGAAAGCUAUCCUUGUGGCCCACGUUCUGAAGAUCUUGGAAACCCAGAACCAGCCCAACUGCACCCCAGGAAUUAGUGUCUCCUCCCAGGAGCUCAGCUGCACCAUUCAUUCCUUAAAGGACCUGCUCCGUCGGCGUGGAAUAGCUAUUAUGGUUAAGAUGGAACCAGAGCAAGCAAGACUAGAAGAAAACUAGUUAAGCACCAAGGAAUUUUAAUAAAACUUUGGUUUUUGUUUUAAAAACA